GCGGAUGGCUGGAUGGCCGCUCCGGCGCGCCUGCAAGGGUGCCGCGGGGGAGGAAAGUCCGGACUCCAGAGAAAAGCACGGUGCCGGGUAAUCCCCGGCGGGGGCAACCCCAGGGAAAGCGCCACAGAAAACAGACUACCCCGAUCCGUCGGGGAAAAGGUGAAACGGUGGAGUAAGAGCCCACCGCGCGACUGGCAACAGAAGCGGCACGGCAAGCCCCACCGGGAGCAAUGCCAAAUAGGGGGUCCGUCCGCGUUCGCGCGGCGGGAUGCUUGGACCCGAGGGCCCCGGGUUGGCAGCACGAGGUCACCGGCGACGGUGAUCCCAGAUGAAUGGCCAUCCAUCCGGGGGCAACCCCGGGGGACAGAAUCCGGCUUACAGGCCAUCCGCGCAC
rnacentral:RNase_P_RNA from 11 species